rnacentral:rRNA from 1 species
CGCGGCCUAUCAGCUUGUUGGUGAGGUAAUGGCUUACCAAGGCUUCGACGGGUAGCCGGCCUGAGAGGGUGAUCGGCCACACUGGGACUGAGACACGGCCCAGACUCCUACGGGAGGCAGCAGUGGGGAAUAUUGGACAAUGGGCGGAAGCCUGAUCCAGCAACGCCGCGUGAGGGAUGACGGCCUUCGGGUUGUAAACCUCUUUCAGCUCCGACGAAGUUUUGUCUUUUUGGGCAGGGUGACGGUAGGGGCAGAAGAAGCACCGGCCAACUACGUGCCAGCAGCCGCGGUAAUACGUAGGGUGCGAGCGUUGUCCGGAAUUAUUGGGCGUAAAGGGCUCGUAGGCGGUUUGUCACGUCGGGAGUGAAAUCUCGGGGCUUAACUCCGAGUCUGCUUCCGAUACGGGCUGACUAGAGGUAUGCAGGGGAGAACGGAAUUCCUGGUGUAGCGGUGAAAUGCGCAGAUAUCAGGAGGAACACCGGUGGCGAAGGCGGUUCUCUGGGCAUUACCUGACGCUGAGGAGCGAAAGUGUGGGGAGCGAACAGGAUUAGAUACCCUGGUAGUCCACACCGUAAACGUUGGGCGCUAGGUGUGGGGCUCAUUCCACGAGUUCCGUGCCGCAGCUAACGCAUUAAGCGCCCCGCCUGGGGAGUACGG